GGCCAGACUCCUACGGGAGGCAGCAGUGGGGAAUAUUGCACAAUGGGGGAAACCCUGAUGCAGCGACGCCGCGUGAGUGAAGAAGUAUUUCGGUAUGUAAAGCUCUAUCAGCAGGGAAGAAAAUGACGGUACCUGAAGAAGAAGCCCCGGCUAACUACGUGCCAGCAGCCGCGGUAAUACGUAGGGGGCAAGCGUUAUCCGGAUUUACUGGGUGUAAAGGGGGCGCAGACGGCGAUGCAAGCCAGGAGUGAAAGCCCGGGGCCCAACCCCGGGACUGCUCUUGGAACUGCGUGGCUGGAGUGCAGGAGGGGCAGGCGGAAUUCCUGGUGUAGCGGUGAAAUGCGUAGAUAUCAGGAGGAACACCGGUGGCGAAGGCGGCCUGCUGGACUGCAACUGACGUUGAGGCCCGAAAGCGUGGGGAGCAAACAGGAUUAGAUACCCCUGUAC
rnacentral:rRNA from 1 species